rnacentral:rRNA from 1 species
CUACCUCAUACUGGAGAAUAGCCCUUGGAAACGAGGAUUAAUGCUCCAUAGUAUCACAGAUUCGCAUGUUUCUGUGAUUAAAGAAUUUCGGUAUGAGAUGGGCAUGCGUCCCAUUAGCUUGUUGGUGAGGUAACGGCUCACCAAGGCAACGAUGGGUAGGGGGCCUGAGAGGGUGACCCCCCACACUGGUACUGAGACACGGACCAGACUCCUACGGGAGGCAGCAGUGAGGAAUAUUGGGCAAUGGAGGCAACUCUGACCCAGCCAUGCCGCGUGAAGGAUGACUGCCCUAUGGGUUGUAAACUUCUUUUAUUGGGAAGAACUUAUCUACGUGUAGAUA